rfam:Chlorocebus sabaeus isolate 1994-021 chromosome 9, whole genome shotgun sequence.
UGUUGGUCUGAUGGUAACAGGCCAUCAGAACUUAUUAACAUUAGUGUCACUAACGUUGGUAUUCAACCCCCCUGCUGUUAAAUUUGACUGGCUUAAA